AGCGAACGUUAGCGGCAGGCCUAACACAUGCAAGUCGCACGAGAAUCCGGCUUCGGCCGGUAGUAAAGUGGCGGACGGGUGAGUAACACGUGGAUAAUCUGCCCUUCGGCGGGGGACGAACAGUCCGAAAGGACUGCUAAUACCGCAUACGUCGGCGAGGUCUUCGGAUCUUGCCGGGAAAGAUGGCCUCUUCAUGAAAGCUAUCACCGGAGGAUGAGUCCGCGUCCCAUCAGCUAGUUGGCGGGGUAAUGGCCCACCAAGGCUUAGACGGGUAGCUGGUCUGAGAGGAUGAUCAGCCACACUGGAACUGAGACACGGUCCAGACUCCUACGGGAGGCAGCAGUGGGGAAUAUUGGGCAAUGGGCGCAAGCCUGACCCAGCCAUG
rnacentral:rRNA from 1 species